rnacentral:rRNA from 1 species
AUUGAACGCUGGCGGCAUGCCUUACACAUGCAAGUCGAACGGCAGCAUGGAGAGCUUGCUCUCUGAUGGCGAGUGGCGAACGGGUGAGUAAUGCAUCGGAACGUACCGUGUAAUGGGGGAUAACGUAGCGAAAGUUACGCUAAUACCGCAUACGACCUGAGGGUGAAAGCAGGGGAUCGCAAGACCUUGCGUUAUACGAGCGGCCGAUGUCAGAUUAGCUAGUUGGUGAGGUAAAGGCUCACCAAGGCGACGAUCUGUAGCGGGUCUGAGAGGAUGAUCCGCCACACUGGGACUGAGACACGGCCCAGACUCCUACGGGAGGCAGCAGUGGGGAAUUUUGGACAAUGGGGGCAACCCUGAUCCAGCCAUGCCGCGUGAGUGAAGAAGGCCUUCGGGUUGUAAAGCUCUUUCGGCCGGGAAGAAAUCGCACAGGCUAAUACUCUGUGUGGAUGACGGUACCGGCAUAAGAAGCACCGGCUAACUACGUGCCAGCAGCCGCAGUAAUAC